GAUGAACGCUAGCGGCAGGCUUAAUACAUGCAAGUCGAGGGGCAGCAUGACUGUAGCAAUACAGUUGAUGGCGACCGGCAAACGGGUGCGGAACACGUACAGAACCUUCCUUCGAGCGGGGAAUAGCCCAGAGAAAUUUGGAUUAAUACCCCAUAGUAUAUUAGAGUGGCAUCACUUUGAUAUUAAAGAUUUAUCACUUGAAGAUGGCUGUGCGGCUGAUUAGGUAGUUGGCGGGGUAACGGCCCACCAAGCCUUCGAUCAGUAACUGGUGUGAGAGCACGACCAGUCACACGGGCACUGAGACACGGGCCCGACUCCUACGGGAGGCAGCAGUAAGGAAUAUUGGUCAAUGGACGAAAGUCUGAACCAGCCAUGCCGCGUGGAGGAUGAAGGUCCUCUGGAUUGUAAACUUCUUUUAUAUGGGACGAAAAAAGGGUUUUCUAACUCGUCUGACGGUACCAUAUGAAUAAGCACCGGCUAACUCCGUGCCAGCA
rnacentral:rRNA from 1 species